UAUCUAUCUAUCUAUCUAUCUAUCUAUCUAUCUAUCUAUCUAUCUAUCUAUCUAUCUAUCUAUCUAUCUAUCUAUCUAUCUAUCUAUCUAUCUAUCUAUCUACCUACCUGGUAACCUUUUUUUCGUAUAUCAAAUAUCCACUACCAACUGGUAUGUAUAUCAGGUAUUGUUUUAAUUUUUCUGGUUACCUCAUUUAUUAUGCACGAUGAAUGAUAUAAAUAAUAAUAAAAAAAUGACCUAAUGUGUUCUCAAGUCUUAGCACUGGUAAUAGAGAGCAGAGCAAUGAAUUAAGGACAUUGUAUAAUAAUUGUGCUUUUGUUUAUUUAUUUUCUAGUAAAUGUGUUUUUAGAUGCCAGCAUCCCUGAGAAAGAUAAAGUGUAGCAGGAUUUUGUAAAUAAAGGACGUUUGAAAUCGUUUUCGGGAGAGAGAAGAAGCAAAUGCAGUUCUCCUCUUCCCAUCGUGCCUGCCAUGCUGAAAAGCCUGAUCAUCACAAUAAUGCUUGAGCUUCUAGAUUCUAGAUGUACUGUGAUGAAGCAGUAGAAGGUUGAGUACGCUCUUGAGGUGCUGAAUUGCACCUCCUUCUGGUUCAGUGAAUAUUCCCUGCAGGGUUUAGCAGCUAAAUUAGAAAUUGAUUCUGAUUAGCUUUAGGUCAUUUGUGGAUGGUAGAUUUUCAAUUCCACUCCUGUGCAGCUCUUUUUGAUUAUGAAGGAUGAAUUUUUUUUUUUUACAUUCCACAGGAUUUUUCUGCAGGGCCUCGCUGUGUCCACCUGUCCAUGCCUUGCAUUGUUCCUUAUGCCAUCUCAAAGCAGCCUCUGGGAUGCGUCUGCAUGUCCCUCACUCUUCGCACAGACUGGAUCUGGGGGUGAUUGGCACACCAUUCUUUCCAGUGUUUGUAGGAUCCAAAUUCAAACAGGCCUCGGCUGGAUGUCUGAUGUCUACCUCCAUCAGCAGAAAGCAUGGCACUCCACGGCCUCUAUCUCUUCAACUCUCUCUCUCUUUCUCUCUCUCUCUCUCACGUGCACUCAUUCACUCUACAGCACAGCUAGCAAUGUGCUGACCUCAGUAGACUAGCCCCAGACCUGUCCAUUGAGAGAACGAAGACUUGUUGCCGUUAUGUGAAGCUUCAGCAGUUUUAUUUGGUGGUUACAGUUAAAUUUUAAGUUGUCAAGGAUUUGGAGCUUAAGUUAAGGGUGAAAGACAGAUGCACACCAUUGCCAGGCUAUUAAAUAUUAAACAAACAUAAAUAGUGAUGCAUUUAAUUAUUCACACAGUCAUUUGUAUUUGAUCAUCAACAAAUCAAAAAGUAUGUCUCACUGAAGAACCACAUUGACAUACCUGAAAAAUGAUGAAUCUUCUUCAUAUUUACUUGAAUGCCAUCAUUCACACGCUUCAUUUUACUAAGUCAUGCACCUCCUAGUGAAACGCUGGGCCCCAUCCAUGCAGCCUGCUUUGCAUAAAGUCAAAGGAGUGGGCAGGACAUGGAUGUUGAAUGGAUGUGCUUGUAAGGGACUAUUGCGUAUGUAUGCAUAUGUGUGCGAGUAUGUAAAGGCAGGUGGAAGUGGGUCACUGAAACACUCCAUGGCUGUAACUGUGGGGAGAGGAGAGCUGACAGUCUCAGUGCAGGAUGAGAAAUUUUAAUGAUAGGUAACACUUAAAAACCACCAUUCUUUGAAUAUUUAAGGAUAUCUUUAAGCUUUUUUGGUGGUUGCAAUGCUUUAACCAACCAUUUUCUGUUGGGAAGAAACCUGGAAGUGUACCUUUGUGUUGUCUUUGCUGCAAUGAUCUUAAGUCGAAACAGCUUGCUUAUGUUUACGCAGGCAUGCGUGUUUUGCCGUACACUCAGGUCAUAUGUAAAAGCAUGCAUGGAAUCACUUUGCCUGGCAUCCACUCUUGUAGCAGAUGCCAGUAGGCAUGAUGCCUCCCUGGCUACGGCAGAUGGCAUUGUGAGCUAGGUAAAGCCAAAGGCUCAGUCCAAAACAAUGAGGCUUCGGGCAAAGUGCUGACUCCUGCCUGCCCUGUUGCCAAUCUUCCCUUUCUGUCAUGCUACAUAUAAAUAGAGCCCUUAGUUGGU
ensembl:lncRNA